UUCCUACGGGGGGCAGCAAUUAGGAAUCUUGCGCAAUGGGCGAAAGCCUGACGCAGCGACGCCGCGUGACUGAUGAAGUCUUUCGGGAUGUAAAGGUCUUUUCUGAAGGAAGAAAAAAAUGACGGUACUUCAGGAAUAAGCCCCGGCUAACUACGUGCCAGCAGCCGCGGUAAUACGUAGGGGGCGAGCGUUGUCCGAAUUCACUGGGCGUAAAGCGCGCGUAGGCGGGUUAUUAAGUUGGUGGUGAAAUCCCGAGGCUCAACCUCGGAACUGCCGUCAAAACUGAUAGCCUAGAGGUUUGGAGAGGGAACUGGAAUUCCAGGUGUAGCGGUGAAAUGCGUAGAUAUCUGGAGGAACACCCAUGGCGAAGGCAGGUUCCUGGCCAUAUCCUGACGCUGAGGUGCGAAAGCUAGGGUAGCGAACGGGAUUAGAUACCCUUGUAGUCU
rnacentral:rRNA from 1 species